UUUUCUAGCCAUCUCUUCUAUCAACUUUUCUAAGAUGGCUGCUGUCGUCGCUGCUACCACAGAUUUACUGUCAAUCAGACCAUUCAAAACAAGUUGGAGAAUACAAGUCAAAAUCGUUCACUCUUGGAAGCAGAAUACAGUCUUCUCUGGGGAUACAAUCGAAAUGGUUUUAGCAGAUAUUUCUGGUACUCUCAUUCAUGCAACAAUUAAGAAACCACAGUUUGGGAAGUUCCAGAGGCUGAUUAUCCCUGGACAAUGGGUAAACAUUGAAACUUUCUCAUUGACUAAAUCAGUGGGGAAAUAUAGGGUUACAAACCAUGUUUAUCGCAUGUCUUUGAUCAACACGAGCUCUAUCUUCCCAUGUGCGUCGUUAUCUGAUGACAUAUUCCUGAAACUGGUAGACUUUGGAGAUAUUAGGGACGACACUACACUGAAUGAGAACAUUUUGGUUGAUGUUGUUGGUCAAGUCGUUAAUGUCGGUGAACUGAGAAUUCAUCAAGUCAAAGAGAAGGAUACGAAGAAAGUUGAGUUUGAACUCAGAGACAUACGGUAAUUUCUUAUCCUACUAUAACAACUUAUAUUGUAAGAAAAUUCAUGCUGUAUUUUUUUAUAUGUAGCGACGUACGUCUAUCAUGUACUCUUUGGGAUGAAUUUGCUGAGAGAAUUCUAGCUGCUUGCCAAAACAAUGGAGAGACUAUGGUCAUUUGUCUGUUACGUUUUGCUAAAAUCAAUUCUUUCAAAGGUCAAAGAUCUGUUUUUAAUGCUUAUGCCAUAUCACUAAUGGAACUAAAUCCAGACUUGCCUGUGAUUGUCGAAUUUCGUGAAAAGCUGCCUAAAGAUGGCCUUGCCUUGACUAUCAAAGAAGUUGUGCCUAAGGAGAAAAAAGCUGUGUUGAAGGCUGCAUUUUACAAAUAUUUUGAAAGAAGAACAAUUACUCAGUAUAGAGUACUCAUGGCUGAAAACCGAAUCCGCCAAAUAUCGGAUUUAGGAACCCCACCAUAGACAUCAACAGAUUCGAUUCGACUAAAUGAUUCUUCUCCCAUAUCCCGAUUUUGUAAGAACAGCGCCAAACAGCUUCUCAAUUUUAGAUGUCCUUAAUUUGAGUAGAAGGUAUGAUUCAAAAAUAAAAUCUCGCAAAUUAAAAUUUGGAAAUCAGAUCAAUAGAACGAAAUCGGGAAUUGCCGACAACAAUUGUUGUCGUCAUAGAGAAGGAAGAAGAUAAGUAAACAAAAAAAAAAAAUGAAAGGCCUUACAUUUUUAACAAGAAAAAGGCCA